UACGGGGGGGGCUAGCGUUGUUCGGAAUUACUGGGCGUAAAGGGCUCGUAGGCGGCCAACUAAGUCGGAUGUGAAAUCCCCAGGCUUAACCUGGGAACUGCAUCCGAUACUGGAUGGCUUGAAUCCGGGAGAGGGAUGCAGAAUUCCAGGUGUAGCGGUGAAAUGCGUAGAUAUCUGGAGGAAUACCGGUGGCGAAGGCGGCAUCCUGGACCGGCAUUGACGCUGAUGAGCGAAAGCUAGGGGAGCAAACGGG
rnacentral:rRNA from 1 species